rnacentral:rRNA from 1 species
UACGUAGGGGGCAAGCGUUGUCCGGAUUUAUUGGGCGUAAAGAGCGUGUAGGCGGCCUGACAGGUCUGCUGUGAAAACUCGAGGCUCAACCUCGAGAUGUCGGCGGAAACCGUCUGGCUAGAGUCCGGAAGAGGAGAGUGGAAUUCCUGGUGUAGCGGUGAAAUGCGCAGAUAUCAGGAGGAACACCGAUGGCGAAGGCAGGUCUCUGGGCCACUACUGACGCUGAGAAGCGAAAGCGUGGGGAGCGAACAGG